UCUCUGGUGUCUCAGUGGUAAAGAAUCUGCCUGCCAAUGCAGGAGACACAGGUUCAAUCCCUGAUCCAGGAA
rfam:TPA: Bos taurus chromosome X, whole genome shotgun sequence.